rnacentral:rRNA from 1 species
UAGGGAAUCUUCCGCAAUGGACGCAAGUCUGACGGAGCAACGCCGCGUGAGUGAAGAAGGAUUUCGGUUCGUAAAACUCUGUUGUUAGAGAAGAACAGCGCAUAGAGUAACUGUUAUGCGUGUGACGGUAUCUAACCAGAAAGCCACGGCUAACUACGUGCCAGCAGCCGCGGUAAUACGUAGGUGGCAAGCGUUGUCCGGAUUUAUUGGGCGUAAAGCGAGCGCAGGCGGUCAAUUAAGUCUGAUGUGAAAGCCCCCGGCUCAACCGGGGAGGGUCAUUGGAAACUGGUUGACUUGAGUGCAGAAGGGGAGAGUGGAAUUCCAUGUGUAGCGGUGAAAUGCGUAGAUAUAUGGAGGAACACCGGUGGCGAAGGCGACUCUCUGGUCUGUAACUGACGCUGAGGCUCGAAAGCGUGGGUAGCAAACAGG